UGACCUCAAAUCGGGUAAGAAUACC
rnacentral:rRNA from 1 species